rnacentral:lncRNA from 1 species
ACAUCAACGCCCGAGUCUAUGGUGAUGAUAAUGUUUGUGCAAAGUGGAUGCCAAGUGACUGCACAAUCAAGGUUUCUGAGUAGUUGAAAUAGAUAAGUCUUGAGUCAAUCAGUACAUCUGUACCACAUUCAUGUGGCAAAUGCUGCUUUAUGGAGAUGUUUCUAAUACUGACCUACAAUAAUUCAGCCAAGAUCACGUUUCUACUGUCUUCAGGAAAUGAGAAAAAUGAAUCCAGGAAAUUUCCAUCUUUAACUAUACUCUGUAAAUGUGCUGUCCAAUACACAGAUAGCUACUGAGCACUGGAAUAUAGCUAGUCUGAAUGGAGAUGUUCUAUCAAGAAAUAGAAUAUACUGGCUUCCCAGAGCCCUUCUUUCUAGUCACAAUCCUCCCAAAGGUCCUGGUAACUACCCUUCCACUCUCUGUUUCUCUAGGUUUGACUUUUUUGGACUCCACAUGUGUGAGAUCAUGCAAUAUUUGUCUUUCUGUGCCUGGCUUAUUUCACUUAGCGUAAUGUCCUCCAGGCUCAUCCAGGUUGUUGCAAAAGGCAGGAUUUUCUUCUUUUUUAAGGCUUGGAGAGUCAUUUGUUUUCAUAAGAGAUUCACACUCUAUGUGAUGCCUUCUGCCAUGGGAUGUCCCUCACCAGAUUCUAGUGCCAUGCUCUUGGACUUCCUAGCCUCCAGAACCAUAAGCCAAAUAAACUUUAGUUCUUUGUAAAUUACCCAAUCUGUGGUAUUCUGUUAUAGCAGCAGAAAAUGAAGUAGAACAUUGAGUCACUUCCCUAAUCUAGACUGGCCAACUCUUUGCAAUUAUGAUCUUAUUAUUCAAUUUUUGAUUUCAGGAACUCUUUCUCCUUUCUACUCCUAAGGAUAAUAGAAUACAUUUUAGUCUUUUGUUUAUGAGAGCAAGUAUACAUUAAUUUUUUUUUUCUUUUAGAGUUUCAUGACAGUUGUUAACAUAACUGGAGACCCCCUGAAGUGUGACAAGAAAAAAAUUAUUGCUCUAACUGUAGGGUGGUUGUAGCUACAUCUGAAUAAGACACUUUUGGAAAAUGAGAUAGUAAUCCCCUACAAAUUCUUUGCUGGAGUUCUUAGAUCUGUAGAAGUAGUUUCAUCAUGCAUUGUGAUUAUUUGGGAAAGUCCUAUUGUGCCUUUUUAAGAUGAUAGUGUGGAGCUGAUGGGGGAAAAUAAUCAGGAACAGCUGGAGGCUUUGAAAGUGUUUUCAUGAGCAGAAAAAUUCCAUGCAAGGAGGGAAUGCAUUUUACUGGAAUUUUUAAAUAAAAGUGUUCUACUUCUUGAA